rfam:Sugiyamaella lignohabitans strain CBS 10342 chromosome A, complete sequence.
UCCGAUAUGGUGUAAUGGCUAGCACAGGACGCUCUCACCGUCCAGAUCAGGGUUCGAUUCCCUGUAUCGGAG